rnacentral:rRNA from 1 species
GCCGGGGGGCGUGUCUAUACAUGCAAGUCGAGCGGACAGAUGGGAGCUUGCUCCCUGAUGUUAGCGGCGGACGGGUGAGUAACACGUGGGUAACCUGCCUGUAAGACUGGGAUAACUCCGGGAAACCGGGGCUAAUACCGGAUGCUUGUUUGAACCGCAUGGUUCAAACAUAAAAGGUGGCUUCGGCUACCACUUACAGAUGGACCCGCGGCGCAUUAGCUAGUUGGUGAGGUAACGGCUCACCAAGGCAACGAUGCGUAGCCGACCUGAGAGGGUGAUCGGCCACACUGGGACUGAGACACGGCCCAGACUCCUACGGGAGGCAGCAGUAGGGAAUCUUCCGCAAUGGACGAAAGUCUGACGGAGCAACGCCGCGUGAGUGAUGAAGGUUUUCGGAUCGUAAAGCUCUGUUGUUAGGGAAGAACAAGUACCGUUCGAAUAGGGCGGUACCUUGRCGGUACCUAACCAGAAARSCACGGCUAACUACGUGCCAGCAGCCGCGGUAAUACGUAGGUGGCAAGCGUUGUCCGGAAUUAUUGGGCGUAAAGGGCUCGCAGGCGGUUCCUUAAGUCUGAUGUGAAAGCCCCCGGCUCAACCGGGGAGGGUCAUUGGAAACUGGGGAACUUGAGUGCAGAAGAGGAGAGUGGAAUUCCACGUGUAGCGGUGAAAUGCGUAGAGAUGUGGAGGAACACCAGUGGCGAAGGCGACUCUCUGGUCUGUAACUGACGCUGAGGAGCGAAAGCGUGGGGAGCGAACAGGAUUAGAUACCCUGGUAGUCCACGCCGUAAACGAUGAGUGCUAAGUGUUAGGGGGUUUCCGCCCCUUAGUGCUGCAGCUAACGCAUUAAGCACUCCGCCUGGGGAGUACGGUCGCAAGACUGAAACUCAAAGGAAUUGACGGGGGCCCGCACAAGCGGUGGAGCAUGUGSUUUAAUUCGAAGCAACGCGAAGAWCCUUACCAGGUCUUGACAUCCUCUGACAAUCCUAGAGAUAGGACGUCCYCUUCGGGGGCAGAGUGACWGKUGKUGCAUGGUUGUCGUCAGCUCGUGUCGUGAGAUGUUGGGUUAAGUCCCGCAACGAGCGCAACCCUUGAUCUUAGUUGCCAGCAUUCAGUUGGGCACUCUAAGGUGACUGCCGGUGACAAACCGGAGGAAGGUGGGGAUGACGUCAAAUCAUCAUGCCCCUUAUGACCUGGGCUACACACGUGCUACAAUGGACAGAACAAAGGGCAGCGAAACCGCGAGGUUAAGCCAAUCCCACAAAUCUGUUCUCAGUUCGGAUCGCAGUCUGCAACUCGACUGCGUGAAGCUGGAAUCGCUAGUAAUCGCGGAUCAGCAUGCCGCGGUGAAUACGUUCCCGGGCCUUGUACACACCGCCCGUCACACCACGAGAGUUUGUAACACCCGAAGUCGGUGAGGUAACCUUUAUGGAGCCAGCCGCCGAAGGUGGGACAGAUGAUUGGGGUGAAGUCGUAAUCAAAGGUUACCCGGC